UCUCAUUUAGUUUCUGCUUCAUCUGCUGGAGCUUCUGUGCUGUGUUAGCUUUCCUAUCUUCUCGCAGUCGUUUUCGGACAGCGCUUAAAGAAAAGAAAGGAAAAAUAAGAAGCCUUUUUCCAGGGCCUCUGUUGCAUGUGCUGGACCCCUCUGGGUAACUCCAUAUCCUUCAAUGACCCCUUUUCAUAUUUCUCCUGGAUGACGACACUGUGAAGAUGUUGGUUUAUACUAUCCAUAAUAGCUCCGAAAUAAAGAAUUAAGCUUGUCUUGUA